rnacentral:rRNA from 1 species
GUCGAGAAUCUUCCGCAAUGGGCGCAAGCCUGACGGAGCGAUGCCGCGUGAGGGAUGAAGGCCUUCGGGUUGUAAACCUCUGUCACCCGGGACGAAGAAAGUGACGGUACCGGGAGAGGAAGUCACGGCUAACUACGUGCCAGCAGCCGCGGUAAUACGUAGGUGGCGAGCGUUAUUCGGAUUCACUGGGCGUAAAGGGUCCGCAGGGGGUUUGCCAAGUCUGGUGUGAAAUCCCAUGGCUCAACUGUGGAACUGCAUUGGAUACUGGUGAACUAGAGUGCACGAGGGGUGAGCGGAAUUCCUGGUGUAGCGGUGGAAUGCGUAGAUAUCAGGAAGAACACCGAUGGCGAAGGCGGCUCACUGGCGUGCUACUGACCCUGAGGGACGAAAGCGUGGGGAGCAAACAGGAUUAGAAACCCGAGUAGUCC